CAUUUUUGAUAGCCAUUAUAUUAUGUGUUUUAAUAAGCGGUUCAGUAUUAUUGUUGUAUUACGGCGACAUUAUCAUCAGCAUCAUCAUCAUAAGCCCGUUGCAGUCCACUGCUGGAAGAAGCCCUCUCCCAAGGGGUUGUGCUGGCGAGACCGGCUGGGCCCGAGCGUACGGCGUCGGCGCGGGGGUGGCAAAUGGAGCUGAAUCAAAGGGUGGCGAUGAUGCGCAGUAUGCCCCUAUAUUGAUGUUUAAUGGCGGCCGUUCCCCAUACUGGGGUGAGACGGCUAGUAUGGUACGUUAGUUUAUAGAGAGAAUAUGCAUAUAUUGUAAAUGCGGCAAAUUAUGUCCAUGUAAUAGUCUUAAAUUAAAAAA